UUGGGGGUGGGGGGCAGGGGGCAAGUGAAACUCACUGCUGCUGCCGCUGCUGCCUCUCAGCCGCAGGAAGCCCUGGGAGUUAAUAUUGCAGUCAUCAUAGGCAGAGCUUGCUGCUUUUGCAUGACUUCCAUGUCAAGACAAGACGAACUGCGCCCUGAACAUGCCUACUCCUUGAAUUAUAAAGCAGAUCUGGAAAACAGCUUCAUUUGAGUCAGGCUCGAACUUGAAAUUGAGUGCUGUAGCUUAACCAGAAGCAGAUGCAGAUGAAGGGACUCCAGCACAUAGCAUCUUGUGGGAGACUGAAGGGUCACUGGAGAGCUAUGAGGUGGAAAAGGAGCUGUCUAGAGAAGAGGAGAGAGUUGGCUAUGCUGAAAUGGAAUUUCAGUCCCAGAAUUUCUCAAGAAGUUUUAUAUUUUUAAUAAAUAACUGAGUGC